UUUGAUCUUGGCUGGCUGAUACCAUGUGAUAAUGUUCAUUUUUAGUAUGGGGAGCACGCAGUUCACUGUAAAGAGCUCUCUGGGUUUAAAUAUCGGCAUGACUGGGUGCGAGAUGUUUUGGGAGACAUCCUAAGAAGAGCUGGGAUUUCUGCUAAGAAAGAGUCCCCUGUGAAUUUCCUCACGGGCCCUAUGGAAGGGAUAUCUACUCUGCGACCAGCGGAUCUGCUCGUCUU
rnacentral:lncRNA from 1 species